rnacentral:rRNA from 1 species
GAUCAUGGCUCAGAUUGAACGCUGGCGGCAGGCCUAACACAUGCAAGUCGAACGGUAACAGAAAGCAGCUUGCUGCUUUGCUGACGAGUGGCGGACGGGUGAGUAAUGUCUGGGAAACUGCCUGAUGGAGGGGGAUAACUACUGGAAACGGUAGCUAAUACCGCAUAACGUCGCAAGACCAAAGAGGGGGACCUUCGGGCCGUCUUGUCCAUCGGAUGUGGCCCACGAUGGGAUUAGUCG